rnacentral:snRNA from 1 species
GAGGUGUAGGAUAAGUGGG